rnacentral:lncRNA from 1 species
CCUUUCCGACGCUAUCCAGCUGUCACCGGAAGCGGUGCCAUCGCCCGCAAAUUCCAACAGGAAGCGGCCGCUUAUUAGGUCCUGGCAGAAAGAUCGCUGGCGUCGAGCCCCGCGACUCUCACUUCAUUCCCCUCACCCGGUUCUUUGAAGACCGUUCUACGCUUCUGUCAAUCGCUGCACCGGGAUUCCGUUCCAGAGGUUAGAACCUUUCUCCCUCUCUCUUCCGCCGUCUAUUCUCCCUCUUUUACGUCUCCGUCUCGUCUUCUUGCUCUUGCAUAUCUUCUCUCCUUUCAUAAACUGUGUCACCCUUUUCCCUCUUUCCGCUUGCCGUUCCCAAUCUGCCAUCUCUUCCCUCACUCUCUUCCUUCUGGUUCCUAUUUCUUGGUUGGGAUGUGGGGGGUUUCGCGAGGCUACAGCCGGGAGACGACGGCCAUGAUCGGCUCAAGGUCGGUUGGAAGGACCUUCCGGGUCGGAUCGAGAAUGGCUCCACCCGAGAAGAAUAUCGGAUCCGUUUUUACCUCAUUACAUCAGAUCCUAGCGGGCCCCUCCCUAAACGGGUAAGCGACGCUCCCUCGCUCCAAGUCCUGAUCCUAUCCGUCCGAUGACGCGUCCACAGUAGCUGUGAGGUCGAGGAGGGUUAGUUACCAGUCAGCACUUCAUCGCCUACGAUGGGCAUCUCUAGAAAUCGAGGCCCUUCUCGACUCUUCUCGUCGCUUCACGGCUCUCUGGCAAAUCAGAAAUCGAGGCCCUUCUCGACUCUUCUCGUCGCUUCACGGCUCUCUGGCAAAUCGCAUGUCUUUCCUCAUUCGUUCCGUUUUCCACUACCGUGCAUCCCAGCCGUUUCCAUCUUUCCACACCCGUCGCCAGCGUUGUGGCUGCCGUUUCUCGAUCGGCCCGCCUCCGGCCUCGGGACGCUUGGCGUCGUGGCAUUGUUUACCGACAGGCGGAUUGUCUCUGGCGCCUUAGCCGCAGGCUUUGCGAGUACGUGGGGCGUUAUUUGUCUGCGUUGGUGGCGGUGAGUUGCUGAAUCAUUACAGUGGCUUGGAUCGUUCCAUUUGAUGCCUUUUUUUGCACGGAAUCCUGGACCCUACUCCUCGUCUUCAAAUCUUUGCAUAUUUUGUCUGUUUUAGGAUCUUGGUGAUUGUUUCUUGGUAGUCUUCUUUUUCUUGGCUAAAUCAUUACAGUGGCUUGUCCUCUUUUUCUCCAUUGCCAUUCUUUCUUCGUAAGUAAAAUUGUCGCCUUUAGCAAUGUUGUGAGUCCGAAAGACUAAUUGAAAAGAUGAACUUGACAUUACUGUAAGAACCAUGAAGACGCAGCAAUUGUGCCCAACCAGCUAGAUGCUUAGUCUUUGGUAGAUCAUGUGCAUUUUGAUGCUAUUUUUCGCUGGAUUACGACAUCGACUAAAUGGCUCCGUCUCUCCAGGGUAAAUUUGCGAGCAGAAUUAUCAUGUUGGAUGGCCUUCAG